rnacentral:rRNA from 1 species
CCUACGGGUGGCUGCAGUGGGGAAUAUUGCACAAUGGGGGAAACCCUGAUGCAGCAACGCCGCGUGAGCGAUGAAGGCCUUCGGGUCGUAAAGCUCUGUCCUAAGGGAAGAAUACUGACGGUACCUUAGGAGGAAGCCCCGGCUAACUACGUGCCAGCAGCCGCGGUAAUACGUAGGGGGAUAGCGUCAUCCGGAAUUACUGGGCGUAAAGGGUGUGUAGGAGGCCCUUCAAGUCAGGGGUGGAAGGCUACGGCUCGACCGUAGUAAGCCUUUGAAAGUGUAGGGAAUGUGUGCAGGAGAGGAGGGGGGAAUUCCCAGUGUAGCGGUGAAAUGCGUAGAUAUUGGGAUGAACGCCAGUUGCGAAGGCGGCUCUCUGGAGUGUAACUGACGCUGGGGCACGAAAGCGUGGGGAGCGAACAGGAGUAGAUACCCUAGUAGUC